GAGGAGAGCUUGGAAGAGAUAGCAGAGCUUGAGUCAGAAUUUGUGUCUUCGGCAAUGGGAAAUACUACUCGUAUUCAUCUUGAUGAUUGAAGGUUUUGCAGCAUUUAAUUGAGAUAUUGGGAGAUCUACUCGUAUUGACUUAAUGUUGGUUUCCGCUUUCUACUUGUGGAGUUGUAUUUGCCCAAUUUCUUUUGUUGUUUUCUAUUGGGACUUAUUUAUUUAUUUUGUUGUUUUAUUAUGGACUUUUAUUUUUAUUUCA